rnacentral:rRNA from 1 species
UACAGAGGGUGCGAGCGUUAAUCGGAAUUACUGGGCGUAAAGCGUGCGUAGACGGUAGCGUAAGUCAGAUGUGAAAGCCCCGGGCUCAACCUGGGAAUUGCAUUUGAGACUGCUCUGCUCGGGUGCGGAAGAGGGAAGCGGAAUUUCCGGUGUAGCGGUGAAAUUCGUAGAUAUUCGCAAGAACACCAGUGGCGAAGGCGGCUCACUGGCCCGAUACUGACGCUGAGGCACGAAAGCUGGGGGAGCAAACAGGAUUAGAG